CCUACGGGUGGCUGCAGUGAGGAAUAUUGCACAAUGGGCGCAAGCCUGAUGCAGCCAUGCCGCGUGUGUGAAGAAGGCCUUCGGGUUGUAAAGCACUUUCAGCGGGGAGGAAGGCGGUGAGGUUAAUAACCUCAUCGAUUGACGUUACCCGCAGAAGAAGCACCGGCUAACUCCGUGCCAGCAGCCGCGGUAAUACGGAGGGUGCAAGCGUUAAUCGGAAUUACUGGGCGUAAAGCGCACGCAGGCGGUCUGUCAAGUCGGAUGUGAAAUCCCCGGGCUCAACCUGGGAACUGCAUUCGAAACUGGCAGGCUAGAGUCUUGUAGAGGGGGGUAGAAUUCCAGGUGUAGCGGUGAAAUGCGUAGAGAUCUGGAGGAAUACCGGUGGCGAAGGCGGCCCCCUGGACAAAGACUGACGCUCAGGUGCGAAAGCGUGGGGAGCAAACAGGAUUAGAUACCCUUGUAGUC
rnacentral:rRNA from 1 species